rnacentral:rRNA from 1 species
GAUUCGCGGCCUAUCAGCUUGUUGGUGGGGUAAUGGCCUACCAAGGCAUCGACGGGUAGCUGGUCUGAGAGGAUGAUCAGCCACACUGGGACUGAGACACGGCCCAGACUCCUACGGGAGGCAGCAGUGGGGAAUCUUGCGCAAUGGGCGAAAGCCUGACGCAGCAACGCCGCGUGCGGGAAGAAGGCCUUCGGGUCGUAAACCGCUUUCAGCAGGAACGAAAAUGACGGUACCUGCAGAAGAAGGUGCGGCCAACUACGUGCCAGCAGCCGCGGUGACACGUAGGCACCAAGCGUUGCCCGGAUUCAUUGGGCGUAAAGAGCUCGUAGGCGGUUCAGCAAGUCGGGUGUGAAAACUCUGGGCUUAACCCAGAGCCUGCAUCCGAAACUGCUGUGACUUGAGUUCGGUAGGGGAGCGGGGAAUUCCUGGUGUAGCGGUGAAAUGCGCAGAUAUCAGGAGGAACACCGGUGGCGAAGGCGCCGCUCUGGGCCGACACUGACGCUGAGGAGCGAAAGCAUGGGUAGCAAACAGGAUUAGAUACCCUGGUAGUCCAUGCCGUAAACGUUGGGCACUAGGUGUGGGUUUCAACUAACGAGAUCCGCGCCGUCGCUAACGCAUUAAGUGCCCCGCCUGGGGAGUAC